GGAGUCGUGGCUCAGUGGUAGAGUGCUCACCUAGCGUGUGAGAGACCCUGGGUUCUAUCCUCAGCACCA
rnacentral:tRNA from 1 species